GCCGGGUGUGGUGGCACACGCCUGUAAUCCCAGCUACUCAGGAGGCUGAGGCAGGAGAAUCACUUGAACCCAGGAGGCAGAGGUUGCAGUGCGCCAAGAUUGCGCCACUGCACUCCUGCCUGGACAACAGAGCGAGACUCUGUCUCAA
rnacentral:SRP_RNA from 1 species